rnacentral:misc_RNA from 1 species
GGUUGGAUCAUUAAAAAUAACAAGAAAAAUGUUGUGUGGGAAUCAAACGUCUGUUCUGCAUCAUCAUUACGGAUGGGCUGUGUUAAUGCGAAUUCGCGUAACGUGUUCGUUAAUACGAAUAACGUGACGUGUUUUGCGUUUUCCCACCAGUCCUUUUUCUCGCCGCAUUUUUCCUCCCCCACCUUUGUGAACCAUAGAAACGUAUUUUGGCGUGCCCACCAGUGAAAUCGCCAGCAAUCAUGCAAUUUGUGUGGUUGUGAAGCGAUUAAACGGGCCGUCUACUUAUUUUACAACACCCUUUAUAUUAUUAUCAUGUUUUAUUUUAAUAUUUUUUUGUUUUUCAAAAAAAUAGUAACAAAAUUAAAAACAACUUUUGACAACGGAUCUCUUGGCUCUCGCAACGAUGAAGAACGUAGCGAAUUGCGAUAAGUAGUGUGAAUUGCAGAAUUCAGUGAAUCAUCGAAUCUUUGAACGCAUAUUGCGCUCUCUGGUAUUCCGGAGAGCAUGCUUGUUUCAGAACCGUUUACAUCCUCACAAACCACACAUGGUUUUAACUAACUGUGUGUGCUGAGUGGAAUUGAAAGAAUCGACUUCUCAUCAAGUCGAUCUUUUGAAACGCAAUGUCGGCCUCAAAUUUCCCAAACGGGAAAGGUUUCAAUGGCUUUCCGAAAAAAGACGUGAUGAUGUGGGAAACCACUUUUUUUUCAUCGUCGAAUCUAGGAAAGAUUUAUAUUGGCCUUUCAAUUCAAACUGUCUUUGGGUCCCGAGUGACGACUGAUACAUAUGCCAGGCGCUCAAGUAAUUGAGCGAAACACCUGAUUUAUGGUCUGAAAUCAAGCAAGAGAACCCGCUGAACUUAAGCAUAUCAAUAAGCGGAGGAAAAGAAACCAACAGGGAUUCCCCUAGUAACGGCGAGUGAAGCGGGAAAAGCUCAAUUUUGAAAUCUCACUGGUUCCCAGUGCGAAUUGUAGUUUCAAGGAACGUUUUCGGGGAUGGCUCAGGUUCAAGUCCGUUGGAAUACGGCAUCAAAGAGGGUGAGAAUCCCGUUUUGAUCUGAAGUCCAUUCCUAUGUGAUACGUUUCCGAAGAGUCGGAUAGUUUGGGAUUGCUGUCCAAAAUGGGUGGUAAAUACCAUCUAAAGCUAAAUAUAGGCGAGAGACCGAUAGCGAACAAGUACCGUGAGGGAAAGAUGAAAAGAACUUUGAAAAGAGAGUUAAAAGUACGUGAAAUUGUCAAAAGGGAAGCGUUUGAAACCAGUGUUGCGGCUCGGAAAUCAGUCGUUCAUUAGAACGGUGCACUUUUCGGGCCGCGGGUCAGCAUCGGUUUGGCUUGAAGUAAAAACCUCGGGAAGGUAGCCCCUCGUGGGUGUUAUAGCCCGUGGUAAUGCUUUGGGUCAGACCGAGGACUGCAGCUGUGUCAAUGGGUGGCCUGUCGCCUCAAAAACUGCGGGAACGAACAACUUGUUGAUCGCUCUUUAGCACUGAUGAGCCCGAUUGGAUUCUCACACCUCAGCUUAGGAUGCUGACGAAAUGGUUUUAAGCGACCCGUCUUGAAACACGGACCAAGGAGUCCAACACACACGCGAGUGUUUGGGUGGCAAACCCGAGCGCGUAAUGAAAGUAAAUGUAGGUGGGAUGCUUCGGCUGCACCAUCGACCGGUCAGGAUUUUUAUGAAUGAUCUGAGUAAGAGCGUGUUUGUUGGGACCCGAAAGAUGGUGAACUAUGCCUGAAUAGGGUGAAGCCAGAGGAAACUCUGGUGGAGGCUCGUAGCGGUUCUGACGUGCAAAUCGAUCGUCAAAUUUGGGUAUAGGGGCGAAAGACUAAUCGAACCAUCUAGUAGCUGGUUCCCUC